rnacentral:rRNA from 1 species
UAAUACGUAGGGUGCGAGCGUUAAUCGGAAUUACUGGGCGUAAAGCGUGCGCAGGCGGUUCGCUAAGACAGAUGUGAAAUCCCCGGGCUUAACCUGGGAACUGCGUUUGUGACUGGCGGGCUGGAGUGCGGAAGAGGGAGGUGGAAUUCCACGUGUAGCAGUGAAAUGCGUAGAGAUGUGGAGGAACACCGAUGGCGAAGGCAGCCUCCUGGUCUAGCACUGACGCUCAUGCACGAAAGCGUGGGGAGCAAACAGGAUUAGAUACCCUGGUAGUCCACGCCCUAAACGAUGGCGACUAGUUGUUGGGGUAGAAGUACCUUAGUAACGCAGCUAACGCGUGAAGUCGCCCGCCUGGGGAGUACGGUCGCAAGAUUAAAACUUAAAUGAAUUGACGG